AGACUGUGAUCAAUAGCUGAUUUGAGAGGAUGAUCAGCCACAUUGGGACUGAGACACGGCCCAAACUCCUACGGGAGGCAGCAGUGGGGAAUCUUGCACAAUGGAGGAAACUCUGAUGCAGCGAUGCCGCGUGAGUGAAGAAGGCCUUUGGGUUGUAAAGCUCUUUCGUCGGGGAAGAAAAUGACUGUACCCGAAUAAGAAGGUCCGGCUAACUUCGUGCCAGCAGCCGCGGUAAUACGAAGGGACCUAGCGUAGUUCGGAAUUACUGGGCUUAAAGAGUUCGUAGGUGGUUGAAAAAGUUGGUGGUGAAAUCCCAGAGCUUAACUCUGGAACUGCCAUCAAAACUUUUCAGCUAGAGUAUGAUAGAGGAAAGCAGAAUUUCUAGUGUAGAGGUGAAAUUCGUAGAUAUUAGAAAGAAUACCAAUUGCGAAGGCAGCUUUCUGGAUCAUUACUGACACUGAGGAACGAAAGCAUGGGUAGCGAAGAGGAUUAGAUACCCUCGUAGUCCAUGCCGUAAACGAUGUGUGUUAGACGUUGGAAAUUUAUUUUCAGUGUCGCAGCGAAAGCGAUAAACACACCGCCUGGGGAGUACGACCGCAAGGUUAAAACUCAAAUGAAUUGACGGGGACCCGCACAAGUAGUGGAGCAUGUGGUUUAAUUCGAAGAUACGCGCAGAACCUUACCAACACUUGACAUGUUCGUCGCGACUUUAAGAGAUUAAAGUUUUCGGUUCGGCCGGACGAAACACAGGUGCUGCAUGGCUGUCGUCAGCUCGUGUCGUGAGAUGUUGGGUUAAGUCCCGCAACGAGCGCAACCCUCACUUUUAGUUGCCAUCAUUAAGUUGGGCACUCUGAAAGAACUGCCAGUGAUAAGCUGGAGGAAGGUGGGGAUGACGUCAAGUCCUCAUGGCCCUUACGUGUUGGGCUACACACGUGCUACAAUGGUAUCUACAACAGGAAGCAAAA
rnacentral:rRNA from 1 species